rnacentral:sRNA from 1 species
GCUGGGUGUGGUGGUGCAUGCCUGUAAUCCCAGUGGCUCAGGAGGCUGAGGUAGGAGGAUCACAAGUUCAAAGCCAGCCUCAG